GAUUAUUUGCUCGCAACGCUUUCUGGCACGAUUUCCUGUAUUGUCAUCAUUCUCUAAUAUCUAGAAUUUCGCGACGGUCUGAUUAAGCUCGUUAGAACGCAAAUUAUUUAAAAGUAGUUCUAUUGUUGGAGUCUACUAUAAUAUUAUUUCAAUUUUACUGAAUAUAAAUUCAAAAGGUUAAUUUCUAAUAUUACAUAAUGUCUGAAAUUGAUAAAAUUUUAAUUUUUAAAUCUGUAACAUCUAAUUGUUUAACCGUUGUGUUUGAAGUACAAUCUAAUUUUUAAUAUUUGUCAUGUGCAUUUUUCGUUACUACUAACACGUUUAUACAACUGCAUUCGAAACGUGUUAAAGAGUGUCUGGAUAUUUUCUGAGACCUUACUGGUGCGCAGCAUCGGGUUAAGUGCUAAGGUUGCCGGCUUGUGCACGUGUGUUAGCCGUUCAUAUAUCUUCUAUUGCACUUUUUGUUUUGCAUCGUUACCCUCUUAACCUAUUCUCCACUCUCAAUCGAACGGAAUCGAGUUGCAUCGAUACAUAGAGCGUACGAAAUGCGCGAGAACGGAAAGCAGAGUCGAUGCCACGGAGGUGCACGAAGGAGGCCGAGCGGGUUCGGAAGCAGCCGAGGCCAUCUGUUACGCUCGGUUCCCACGCUUCCGCCGUCGCCUUUCCCCGCCUUUGGACCAGUCCUCAUCGGUCCUUUUCUUGCCCCCUCCUUCGCCGACACUGCCGGCUCUCGCCGUCGCUUUAUUUUAUAUAGCCGGAGAAUGCUUGGACGUCUUUAACCGCGAGUCCGCGUUUUCUGUUACGAACUUACGAGGCAAAACUUUUGUCCAUUAUCGCGAAAUUUCUGCUCGUCGUAGUUUCCGUUUGGCUCGGUCUCGAAGCGUUAAGUAAAAGUUGUACGACUAGUCUUGUAAGGAUAGGACCGGCCAAAAUUUAUCUCUUUCGGUCCCGUUCUGUGUACGUCACAACGAAAACAAAUGUUCCAAGAUGUUGCUUACCUAUUUUACUUUCUUAUUUUCGUUUGAAAUAAAUCGAAUGUUUUACAGCAAAAUUCGUUGCCUUAUUUCCUUAAUAUCUACUUAAGCAAGCGUUAGCUAUUCAAUGUUGUUAGAUGACAUAAUAUUGAAGUGUUAUAUGAAAUGAUACAUAAUUUCUGUUCAUGACUCCCACAUUUAAGAAUUAAAACUGAGGUUAGAAUUCCAGUUAAUCUUUCUUGCGAGUGCAGUCUAUUUUUACUGAAUCGAAACUAUAAUCUCUGUUACCAGCAUAGCUCAAUGUUAUAAGCAAGAGAUUAAGUACGUUAUGUAUUUCAGAUUUCUCUUAAAUGUGAACGUUUCCGUGGGAGCAGUUAGAUAAAUUCAGCCGGGCGGCUUCGCUUUCUCCAGUUUGUUCAUCAAGCAAGCCGACUGCGAUACUUGAAACUGGUCCAUUUACGCCAGUGGCACGAAUUAGCCUGCCAAAGAAAAAAAAAGUUGCUUUCAACGUGGGGCACGUGCCGUCUGCAGUCGCGCCGCUAUUGUCAUCUUCUCAGAGGCUGUGUUUACACAAACGCAUUCCCCCAAUCGCCCCCUGCGGAAAGUUGGCACUCCCGACCACCAGCCACUGCGUACAGAGAACGUUCUUAAAUGUGUUCGUACAAAAGGAAUCGUAAACGGCGCGCACGUGUGUUGACGACGCGUCGUCGAGGGGGCUGGAACGAUUAAACCGACCGCAAAAAGAGAUGGACUCGAUUCUUUAAAUACAUGGUCGAUAUGACAGGGGGAGCGACCAUGGUGACAAUGUCGAGUGACUUCCAGCGACCCCUUGUUUACCUAUGAAUAAAUUGCAUUUACUUCGUUACAUAAAAACAUGAGGAUAAAAGGUCGAAAACAUAGCCAAUAGAUUACAUAUUUGAACAAAGUUGAUCCCAAAUAUUAUAUAUAGUAGCUCACUGAAGUAUUCGUACACUUAUUACGAAUGUAUGCGUAUUUCUGUGCUAUAUGAAACAUUUUGAAACUUUGAAAAUUUACAUAGAAGCUACAAAAUAUUUAAUGUAAGUGUAUGUAUAUACAUAAUUAAAAGUUCCCAGUAAUUUUAAAACAAUUCGCCGAACAAUUUAAAGAAUGUAGGGGGCGGUGAUCGUGAGCAAACGAUUACAUUGAACCUAGCUCGAGACAGAUGAUUUUAUGGCGCAGUAAUCGUCGCGGUAUGCAAUCGAUAAUAAAGGGACGAUCGACCCUGUGAACGAAGCCAGGUUCGGAAACCUUUGUGCAUGAUGAACAAUUUGAAACGUGUUGCUGGUUGUCGUGGCAUAAAUCAGUCGCUCUGUCGGCAUGAUUAGAAACUCUUUGGAAAAUACGCGGCGAACAGUAGAGGGAACGGCGUGGUUUCGGUUCUGUUGAAACAGGCUGUCUGUCGCGUCUCAUGGCAACGCGACCUUUUCUUUAGGUUAUGUUAUGUGAUUGUUUUAACCAAAGAACAUCGUACAUAACAUGAAACUAUGUUACAUAACCUAAAUGAAUUUUUGCAGUUUGUUGUAAUAUAGUAACGGGUAAUAUAAUCACUUGCUAUAAUACAAUACUUAUUCUGUGCAUAUAUUAGGUCGAUGCAUAUGAAAUGUCCUCUCAAAUGAAACUAAUCACGUGUAGGUUCUUCAAAGCAUCAUGUCUAUGUUGAACUGAUAAUUCUCAGAAAUCUAAUAUAACUAAAUUAUUCUUUAGGAAAGGAUAUCAUGCAGAAAUUACUUUGAUUAAAUUUACAUGUAAUGCAUUGAAGAAUCUAUAUAGUAUAUGCGGUUAAGUUUCAUUUCAAAAAGAACAUUUCAUAUACACCAAUCUAAUACAUAGAAAAGAAAUAUUGGUGGAGAAGCAUGUUUUUAGAAAAUAUAAUACAAUAUUACUAAAGCUAUAAUAAAGUAUCGUUUAUCUUUGGAAUAGAUUGUACAAAUGCACUCGAGGAACGGAUACUGAAAUCCCUUCUUUCUUUUGGUGUUCAAGAUUUAUAUGUUUUGUUCUGGCAGUUUUAAAUGAAUCCUCGCGGUUCGAUAGCCACGAAUGCGUGUAUUUGGUUCGAUAAGAGAGUUAAUAUGCAACGUAUUGCGACAGGGGCGCGUACGCAAAAGACGAAGACUGUGCCAACAACGCUUGCAACGAUAUAGAAUCAUGAAUGGUACUCUUGUAAACGAUAUCGAAACGCAACCCUCUGUUUCCGUUUUGUCCAAUAAUAGAUUUCCCCCAUUCUGCGGUUUCCCUUUAUUCGCAUGAAGAUUAUGUUACACGCCUGUUCGGCACGGUUAGUCGCGAAGCUGAAUGUAACGAACGAUAAACCUAACCUAAAUUAAGCGGAAGUAAAAUUUAUUUUUCAAAAAUAAAAAAUACGUGUUUUUUUUAUAAUACCUGUUCUAUAAAUAUUAUUAAAAGAUUAGGGAUGCUUCAAAUUAAUUUAAUGGUCGUCUAGAACUUCUUUUUUUAACACAAACAAACAAAAGUAAACAAUCACGCGGGCCACUGGUUACAAAUAUAAAUGCAUGG